UACGAGGAGCCGAGCGUUGUCCGGAUUCAUUGGGCGUAAAGGGUGCGUAGGCGGCGCGGUAAGUCGGGUGUGAAAUCUCGGAGCUUAACUCCGAAACUGCAUUCGAUACUGUCGUGCUUGAGGACUGGAGAGGAGACUGGAAUUUACGGUGUAGCGGUGAAAUGCGUAGAUAUCGGGAGGAACACCGGGUGGCGAAGGCGGCGACCUGGGUCGAGACUGACGCUGGAGGCGCGAAAGCGUGGGGAGCAAACAGG
rnacentral:rRNA from 1 species